rnacentral:rRNA from 1 species
GAUGAACGCUGGCGGCGUGCCUAAUACAUGCAAGUCGAGCGAACAGAUGAGGAGCUUGCUCCUCUGACGUUAGCGGCGGACGGGUGAGUAACACGUGGAUAACCUACCUAUAAGACUGGGAUAACUUCGGGAAACCGGAGCUAAUACCGGAUAAUAUAUUGAACCGCAUGGUUCAAUAGUGAAAGACGGUUUUGCUGUCACUUAUAGAUGGAUCCGCGCCGCAUUAGCUAGUUGGUAAGGUAACGGCUUACCAAGGCAACGAUGCGUAGCCGACCUGAGAGGGUGAUCGGCCACACUGGAACUGAGACACGGUCCAGACUCCUACGGGAGGCAGCAGUAGGGAAUCUUCCGCAAUGGGCGAAAGCCUGACGGAGCAACGCCGCGUGAGUGAUGAAGGUCUUCGGAUCGUAAAACUCUGUUAUUAGGGAAGAACAAAUGUGUAAGUAACUAUGCACGUCUUGACGGUACCUAAUCAGAAAGCCACGGCGAACUACGU